CCCCUCUCAGGGUCGCACCUGGAGAGUUUCCAGUACUCUACCAGUCUCAAAUAUGAGAGGGAGAGUCAAGCAGAGACAUUUCCAUUCCUAGCUUGGGCAGUGGCUAGUGAGUGGAAGGCAAUCUGCUCCAAGU